CUAUCCUGCAGUCUCCCACUGCCUUUGCCUUGGAUUUGGGAGAAUACUGCUAUAAACAUAGGGGAUAUGUGGGAGAUAAUGCUGAUGCAUCAUCUCCAAAAAAAAUGGCAUCAUGGGAGGAGGGCUACAUUUGUAGUAAGGGAGCCUGAUUUAAGAUCUUAACUGCUUCUUAACAUAUGUGUGACUAUAGGUAAGUUAAUUAACCAAUUUGGGCCUCAGUUUCCUUAGUUGCUAAAUAAGGAAGCUGUACCAGAAUCUAUGGUCCUUUCCAACUCUAAAUCUAUUAUAUGAAGUAGUAUCAUUUUAGAAGUCAGUUUGGUAGUGGGGAGGAGAGUUUCUUAGGUCCUUGAAUCUACUCUAUUUAGGGAAGUCAUUAAUCAUCAGUUGGGAAUUUUAGAGCAGGAUUUAUUCAUGUUUCUCAUUCUUCCUACUCCCUAGAUUCCUGCCUUUCCCAAAGAGAAGAUCUAGGAAGACCAGGUGAUGGUGGCCAUGACUCUGACAUCUAGGGUCUUGAUAUCAGAAGUCCAUGGAAAGAAACCAAAAUCAUCAAGCAUUUCCAAAGAAAGCCCAGAGAGAGGAAUAAUGGAAACAUCUGGAUACCCACCAAGCACAUCACGCCAUGUGGCACAGGGCCAGGAAGAGAAGCGAAGCAGAAGAACAACACAGAUGACAUGGAUCACCAGCAGACCAGCCACACUCAAGGCACACCUGACGAGAUGCUCACAGUUAAAACUUAAUUGAAGAGUUCCGGUCAAGAUGGCAGCUUAGAGAAAGCUAAAGUCCAGAUCUCCUGAAACCCUUCCUUACAGAUCUCAAACCGAAUGCUCCUAGGGCACCGAAAUCCAAAACAAUCAACAACAUAGACCCCGGGAGUCCUCCUCCUGGACCUGGACAUGAAUCAGAAGGUACGGCCUCCCCCAAAAGCCAGAACCCGAGACCACUCAGACCUAAGGGGUAGGCAGAAGGAAGGUCCUAGGACCCAUCCCCCCCAAGCCAGAGCGCCGAGUCCAAGUCCGAGGCAGCAGAGGCAACCUCAGAGCCCCACGGCCUGCUAUUCUGAAGGCUGCUUCCUGAAAACAAUCUGACCCAGUCGAGGGGGCACCCAGACAGCAGGGAAACAGAGAGAGAGGGGGGAGCUUGUAACCCCCUGGCUGGAUCCUUCCAUUGGAGUCUCACGAAAAAAGUCCCUGCCUCAAGGCAUACUAAAUUCAACCCAGGGAAAGCUAAUCUCAUUAGGAGCCCUUGGAGCUCCGGGAAGCCGUGGCCCCUCUCCCUGCAGAGUGCGGCAGCUGACUGGCUAAGGCACAGGAACAAGGGCCAAGCUAGGCUCAGAGCGUGGAAGUAAGGCAACGGAGAAGCAUCAGGAGGGUGCCGAGGAGAGGAGGGCAGUAACAGGGACACACCAGCAAUUCCUGGCUCCCCGGGAAGACAGAAUAACAACUGCAUAGAAUGGACAAUCUGCCUAGGGCUAAAACCUCUGAACGCCAGACAGAGAUAAGAAAAGCUAA
rnacentral:lncRNA from 1 species